GAUGAACGCUGACAGAAUGCUUAACACAUGCAAGUCUUUGGCGAAGCUGUGCUUGCACAGCCUAGCCAAGGCGGACGGGUGAGUAACGCGUAAGGAACUUGCCCUGCAGUCAGGGAUAACAGACGGAAACGACUGAUAAGACCUGGUAAAGUCAGGCGGACUCAUGUCCAGCCUGAUGAAAAGAGAUGCUGCAGGCGAUCCUUGCGUCCUAUUAGCUUGUUGGUGGGGUAACGGCCCACCAAGGCGAUGAUAGGUAGCCGGACUGAGAGGGUGGACGGCCACAAGGGGACUGAGAUACGGCCCUUACUCCUACGGGAGGCAGCAGUGGGGAAUAUUGGAAACUGGGGGCAACCCUGAUACAGCAAUUCUGUGUGCACGAUGAAGGUUUUCGGAUUGUAAAGUGCUUUCAGCAGGGAAGAAAAAAAUGACGGUACCUGAAGAAGAAGCGACGGCUAAAUACGUG
rnacentral:rRNA from 1 species